ensembl:lncRNA
GAAACAACUGAGCGAUCUUCACUUUCACUAGAGGAGGGACAUAUGCAGUGAAGAGGCCAGUGUGAAACUUACAUUUUUCAUAGCCUGGUUAUGGAACUGGAAAACUUCAAGGAGAUAAUGAAGACAUCCCCUUCAAGGUGACUUGCUGGAUCUGCCCACUCAAACAGGUCCUGGGGAAGUGGCCAGGAGCUCUGUGAGCCUCCGAGUCACUUGAGAUGGAAGAAGUUUUGUGUUGUGGUAUCUCUGAGCUGAUAGAACACUUCCAAGCUUCUUCUUUAUUUCAGAUGGUCCUCCUGAAGGCACGGAGUCUGAUAGCCCUCUCCUCAGGAGACAUGGGUGCUGUGAAAGGGAGAAUCCAUUCCAUACAGCCUGGCUUGUCUGGGUUGCCAAAGGAAAAGACCUGCCUGAAGAGUUCCUCUUUAUAAUUUACCACUGGAUUUCAGCCUUCCACCCAAGGCUAGUUGUUUCUCCAAACCAGCUGAAAUCUCUAGUGCCUCAGUUGCUUGUAGUAAAGGAUUAAGAGUUCUGAUUGCAAAUGGAGGGAAAUAAAUGUCAAGAUAAAUAAAAUCAAUGCGCUUUGGCAAAUAAAGGAAGCUGGAAAUACCAAAGAGAGAUGAAAUGUUGCUCCCUCCCCCAAACACACAGACUAAAGUCAACUAUGUUUGGCAAUUCUUGCUUCUUCCAGGAAGAAGUCCCUGAAAAUUCUCACAAAACAUCUCAUUCAUUAUUGUAUUUGAAUAAUAAAGUGGCACAUUUU